rnacentral:rRNA from 1 species
AGCAUCUGGCUUGUCUUGGGCACCUUCAUGGGUGGCGCAACUGCACUUGACUGUGUGGAUCGGUAGCCAUGACUUUACUUUGAGGAAAGCAGAGUGUUUGCAGCAGGUGUUCGCUUGAAUACAUUAGCAUGGGAUAUUAAUAUGGGGCCAUUAUUUCAUUUUGUUGGUUUUAAAAUAAUGGUAAUGAUUAAAAGGGAUAGUUGGGGGCAUUUGUAUUUAACUGUCAGAGGUGAAAUUCUUGGAUUU